UACGGAGGGAGCUAGCGUUGUUCGGAAUUACUGGGCGUAAAGCGCGCGUAGGCGGCUUUGUAAGUUAGAGGUGAAAGCCCGGGGCUCAACUCCGGAACUGCCUUUAAGACUGCAUCGCUUGAAUCCGGGAGAGGUGAGUGGAAUUCCGAGUGUAGAGGUGAAAUUCGUAGAUAUUCGGAAGAACACCAGUGGCGAAGGCGGCUCACUGGACCGGUAUUGACGCUGAGGUGCGAAAGCGUGGGGAGCAAACAGA
rnacentral:rRNA from 1 species